UGUGUGUGUGUGUGUGUGUGUGUGUGUGUGUGUGUGUGUGGCCAAGUGGGCACAUUCUUCUCAUAUGACGUACUCGGUCUGUCAGUAACACACGGUCCACAUUAUUGUGUCUUGUGUGUAUUUGGAGAGUAUUGACUAUGUUUACAUGCAGUCCAAUAUAUAUUAGCAAAAUCGCCAAUUCUUGUUGCGGCUUCUUUGUAGCAAAUGGGUUGUUGCUUUUAUCAAUAGAUGAUAUCUCAUCACAAUUUCAAAACGUAAUCCAGCUCGUAAGUUGUAUAUUAGGCUUUUGAUGAUCCUUUUUGUGUUCAUAUUUCCCAAUGAUGUGUCACUGGACAUUAUUAAGCUUUAAGUCUAAGUUCUGCUCUUGGCAAUGAGACGAAUGAGAAUAUACAUAAGAUGUACCCUUGUACUUCAGUGUGUGCAGGCCGGCCAUGUAAUAGAAAUGGCACUGACUGUUGUAGUUAAGCAAAUAAGAAGCCCAUAACUCCUUUCGCCCAAGCGGUUAUGUAUAUGCAGUAUAAACGGCUACCUUGUUGGUACCCAGCUACUGUAUGAAGACUUGGGCCGUGUCUACACAUGUACUGAUAUUUUCAAAAAUACCCCCCUCCUCAAUUCAAAAAGAAAAUGUUAAAACAACCUUUCGUUAAGAAAAUACCUCCAUCCAAGCUUGACCGCUAAAACUACUUGCCAGAGCCAGAAGGUGGCGAUAAAAGCCACAUUAACAAUAUGUCUGCGAUGUGAGCUUUUUUUAUUUUGCUGGUAGGGGUGUAACAAUAUUCGUAUUUAACUGUUCGGUACGAGGCUCACAGUUCGGUAGGCAUUACGAACCGAAAAAUACGUUUGAAUAAUACUAUUGCAUUUGGAAAAUGUAGAAGCUUAAAUUGUGGGAAAUAUAAUGCACUCAACAAGGCACCCGACGUAACAGACAACGUGCUGUCUGACACUCCCACCACGGAAGAAAAACAUUCUACUCUGGUGAGCCACGUUUGUUCUGGGAGAUGCUCUGCUAAACUAGCUUAGCAAGGCGUGCCCAAGGUGAUUUGGCAAAACCAAAGCUUGACUUGCGUGGACGGGCAGCGAGGUUGAGUUGCUGCUUAGCGUCGCCUUACAAUGCUGGUAGUCCGCCAUCUUUGUUUUUGCCGCAUGUUCACAGAUUGAGGACAUGACAUUGUUUCCCCGUGCCUUAGACAGAUGAUCCUUUCCAAACCUGCAUGUAAACGUAGUCAUGUUCAGUUAUGGACUUAAUUUUGGGUACAACGGCUGUAAACGGCUUGUAUCUUAUAUGAACACAAAAGGAAGUAUUUAUUCAAUUGAAUUCAAACUGUUAGAAUCGAAUGACCAUACUUUAGUUGCAGUAUUUGUUGGCAAGAGUAAACCUGCCAUUGCAUGACUGGCAAAGGGCCAGUUGGACUUGCAAACAUGCAUUGGGGUCAGUUUUGUAGUCAUACUCACCAGAAACUAUAGCGUACCUGUAUCAAAUGUGUUCAAUCUAUAGAUGAAAAUUACAACCCUUACAUAUUUUACUAAAAAGAAAGUCAGUAUGACUAACUAUUUUCAGUUCUUGUUUAAAUCAAAACUAUUUAUGCAUUCAUGAUUUUUAUCGAGCAUGAUAUUAGUGUAUCAUGAGCCAGCAAACAAAGUAAAAAGAUGUAAGUCCCUCACGUGCACAAGUUGUACUGUGACGAAGCGUUCGUUGUGCUGGACCUGGAAGAAGACAAGAAAUCCAGGGUUUGUCCUAAGAGGUAAACUGCAUCGAUGUGGCUCAUACUGCAGUGGGAUAUGUGGCCCGUCUGCCUCACCCUUUUUCUUUUUUCUUUUAACUGGCAAGACAUGCGGACAUUUCACAUCCUCCAGAUUGUGAAUUCCAUUUUACGUCAUUUCACAAAAGGAAGACUGAUCAGUUUAAUGGUUUGAUAAUCUUAUUCGUUUUACACUGUGAAUUGUAAUUGUGUUGCACUGAUGCAUUCUCAUGUGGCUGGAUGCAUAAACAACAUGGCUGGAAGAAGUUCUCUUUCUAGUUCAUUGACUGUAAUGGACGAGCUUUACUGUGUUACUCGGGUACAGUGCCUUCAUGUUAUUAUCGUGCUCAGAUCUAGCUUCAGUUUGGUGUUCUCACACUGCUUCAUAUCAUUAAGUGGGUUGCAUUCCACAGCAGCCCAUUGACAUCACCUUUUUCUGCAUUUCAGGAGACAUCAUUUCAUGUGUUAGCUGUAGUUGCAUGAAUGUCAUCUGUGGUGAUAUUACAAGAAACACAUGGCCUAAAACUAUCAAAAAUAUACAGAACAAUUACCUACCUAAUUAUACCUGUCAUGGCUACCUUUUGCCCAGGAUGCAGAGCCUUUUAGUCCUUUUGACAUUUGAAUCACAGAUUUCAACUGAAUUCUGUAAAUUGAGGCCUGCUAUGUCAAGAAAAUGGCAAAUUAUUAACAUGUUGUAUAACUACCGUAUCAAAGAAAAGAAGUCUAAACCCUGCAAUUGAAAGUCACUUUUUCUUUUUUUUUUUCUUUUUUUUUAAACUCUGCUGCCCACUCCCCAUGAACCGCUCUGAGGAUUUCUUACUUCACUUUGGCGUCAAAUGGACACUGGCUUGCCUCUGCAAGCAUUUCUCAGAGUUGUGUGGUAGGAGAAGAUGGGAUGGGCUGUAAAAGUGAGUGUAAGUAUUCUUGUAUUAAUUACAACUGCAGAUUUAGCACAUUUCACUUAACCUUUAAGAACCAUAGUUUCACGUUUUUGUUUUAUGGAAAUGGAGAAUAUAAAGAUGAAGCCAGAGAAAUGGGAGUAGAUCGGACAUUCCCCUUUAAAUCAACGUAGCAGGAUGGUCAGAGCGGUGGCUACUUUUAUGUGUAUCAUUGAAGGGAGCUAACUGAGGUUAUGUUUUGCAGUGGGGUAGUAACUUUAAGAAGUGUAAACAUUUAACAUUUUAAAAACUAAUGAUUUCUCCGCGCACUCCUGCGCUGUCCACUAGCUAGUGUGCUAAUUCCACCACGCUUUCAUGCUACUCUGGACUGGUGGCCAGCAGCAGUGCCGGGAGUUAACGGCCCCUCCGCCUUACUCCUCGCCGAUGUGGAUAAUGACGAGCUGCCUAGCCAGCCUACCAUCUCUGAAGCUGUGUUCACUGCGGAGACACUACGGCCCUACUGACGUGUGUUGUCGCCAUAACUAACAAUCACCAUUUUUCUUUUGUUCUCGUCAAAUGACCACGAAGCAGUUCAAUGUCCUUUCUAUGGAUGGAGCACUUAUUCAUUUGUUUCCUGGCACUAGCUCAAAGGACAUUCUGUGGGCUGUUGAAGGUGUAUUUACAUGUAGUUCCUUGCAACAGCACAGAUUUUGCUACUUCUUUUAGAAUGCUUACAUUUUUGAGAUGAGCAAGAACAAUAAGUGGAGCCACUUGUAUAGUGCUCAUACAUGUGUCCAUUGGCUGUCUUUGGAGAACAUGUGGACCUAUAACUAAAUGAUCACAAUGCAUCCUAUGGUCUUCAUUUGUCUAAUGGCUUCCAAAACAUUGAAGUGUGCCAGACAUCAAAAAACUUUAUGGCUUGUAGCAUUCUUGUGCACAAUAUGAUAAUGUACCUGCACAAUAUCUAAAAAAUAUAACGGUAUGAAUUAAUCUUUGCUUUUUCUUAUGCUCAUGACUAAAAAAACUGUACAAAUGCAUAUCAUAUCCCUCCUCAUUGCUCCCUCCCCACCCUGUUAUCCCAAAAACAAUUCAAUAAUGAGACAUUGUAGAAAUACAAUAUAAGUAAAUAGAUGCAUUGAUCCUCAGUAAAGACUUUUAAGAACAUGAAAUCGCCUGACCGUACUUGUGAUUCAGUUGCUUCCACCAUACUCUGUUCUACAGCAACAUACCUUUCCCACUUUAGCUGCCCUUUUACUAAUCCUGUAUGACAUUCUUAAAUGCAUAGCAACCUUUCCCAUUCCAGUUACUCGAUGCUAAAAAGCAGUUGUUCAGGGGACUUUACAGUUCCUGACAAUAUUUUGCUGCUCUAGUGCCCUCAUCCCACCUACAAGUCACAGAAUCCUUAAAGCCAAGUCUAUGUAACCUGUUAAGGUCCAAUAGUAUCAAUGCAGAAUGUUACAUUGUAUCAAUCUUAACCACAAGUCCCCCGUCAUUGUACGAGAAUUGCUCCAGCUUUGAGCCUUUUCAUCAAAUCAAAUGCCCAAAUCCCUUUCCCAAGUACUUUUUAGGGCUGCCACACUUCCAUUUCUCCAAUAGGACAAUAAUCAUUUCUAAUAUUUGGCUACCUUGUGUCCUUGUGCAUUUUUGCUUUGUUAUAUCAAGUAUCUUAAGUAAAUCAUCUCCUUCAUGUGGCAUCAGAGAACCCUGAAAAACAUCUGCAAUGGCUGCGAAAAAGAGGACUCCAGAUACUUGGUAACAGAAAUGGAUGUCAUGGAGUGUUCAUCUGUAAUGAUGCGUGUGUUUGUGUUAUGUACAUUUUUUCUUUAACAGGUUGGCUGUAUAGCGUGGACUCGGGAAUGAUGCUGAUCUAGCUUUGUGGCUUUUUGGAGAGACAAGAACAUGACUAAAUUGCAACUCACUGGAUUUUAAAAAACAUUUCCUAAUAGUUAAGUGUAGCCUGUUUAUUGUUAAAAAAGGAGAUCCCUAAAAUUACCUGAGAAAUGUCACCUCAGUUCAUGGACCUGAAAUUCGAUCAACUUUUGCUUACUUAGGCAUUUACUUUUUCUGAAAGUGGUUGGCUUCAGCGAAUGCCUUAAACUUUUAAGUAUACUGCAGUCAUCAAUUUCCCAACAUAUCUGAUAUCUUUGAAGGCAUGCUGUAGUUGCAUCAUUGCACUUCUGUUGUGGGAAUGGAAGAUUAGAUUAACACCAGAUUAGUGUUGGUUGGUUAAAUCAGAUUUUCUGAAAACUAUUGAUAAAUAAGUUUGGACUAGGGAUCUCACCAUACUAAAAAUGUAAUGGUCGAUACCAAUGCCGGUGAAAUUCUGCGAUACCGAAUUUGACCCCACGGUAAUAAGCAAACUCAUACUUCAACAUCCACUCCUUUAUUACGGUUUGCCUAGUGUUUUUUUUGCAAAUUUAUUCAAAAUCCUGCUUGAUCCGCCUCAAGUUUCUCUUCAAAUCCAAAAUUUGACAAGAUCGCAUUUGAGCACGUAACGUUAUAAUGAACCUUUUGCCCAAUACCCAUUUUACUAAAUUGAGCUUGAGCGUAUUGACUCAGUGCAACCUCUGUACGUUAGCCGUUAGCUCCGUUAUUUAGCCAAGCGGGGCUGUGCCGCCCACCGACUGCUAACAGCUAACGUUAGCUCACUCUUCUGUCGAUUUCAUCACGGAUUUGUUGUUUACAAUAUAGCAUUUUCAGGGACAUUUUCUGUCGUCCCUGGGACGCCAUUAAUCUUGAGCCCUGAUCUGGGUACAUCCGGUACUGUAGAUAAACAAGUACAGUCAAGUUUUCAGAAUUUUGGCAUCGACUAUGUACCAAAUUCUCGGUUCUUGUGAUAUCCCUGUUCUGGAACCAGUUUACAACCAUUGUUUGUGGAACAAUGCUGGCGUUUCUUUUCUUUUGUUAAUAGUAGUCCAUCCUUGUAGUGACUUUUCUCAAUUUAUGAAGAUUUACAAGGAGAAUUAAACGCAAUAACAAAGCCCCUUUGAAUUCAUAUUCAGUGCUCUUUUGUAGAUGUUUAACUGCAUUACCUCUGGAAGGGAUUUUGUCACAUAGCGAAAUACGAUUUGAUAUUAUUAAGUGCUAAAAAGAAAUUGAAAGUUGAAUCCGCAGCUUAAAAAAAUCUUAAAUCGGCUAUGUCCUUUUGUGUAUCGUGUAUUACACAAGUAUUGAGGGCUUUGCUAGUCAGACGGAUGUUCUCCACACGGCGUCUGAACAUCCUGCAAAAUAGUGCAAUUGCUUAUUGACGUGACCGAAGUGACACUUUUAAAACUUGUAAUGUUAUGUCUGUGUGUUGUGUACAAUUUGUUUUUCUUUAACAGGUUUGGCCAUCUUUAAAGGUGUUGGACUAUGAGAAGGAACGUUCCAAACCAAGAAAUUCAAAGUCUGUAGCUUCUUCGCUUAUAUUAAUGAAACGCACUCAUUCUUGUGGACCAGAUAGCAUCUUUUUUUGACAUUUAUUUCUGAUCACAAUAGGUUCUGGCUCUGUAGCUUGUGAAGUUGGCCAUUUGUCUUGCACAAGACUGUUAAGUUAAAAAUGGAAACCAAACCUUGAACAUUUUUUGAGACAUGUUUUUAGUCGAGAUUUGUCUAAAGAGCUGCAAGCACAUUUACCUACACAGUUGCUACAUUACAGUUUGGGAUGGUGGUGUCCCCCAUGGCCAACACAUUUAGACAUUUUACUCUUAUCUUUGACAUUUUUAAACGGAUGCCUUUUGUCAGGAUUUGUAUCAAAGGCUAAACUAUUUAGCAACAAUAUUAAAAAGGUUCAAAUAGGUGUUGCAAAUGCAUUUUGACUUAUUAAAGUAAAAAUGGUAACCAAAGCUGUGACGCCGACAUUUUUAAAGACAAGUUCCCAGUCAAGAUUUGUUUUAAGGUGGCGCCAAGCACACUUCAAAACAUUGUUAAAGACCAGUCGAGCAUCAUAAUGGUGACAACAACCACACUGAACAGUCACUAUUUUAGAAGUUCAGAACAGGGACCUAUUGCAGCACAUUUGAUGGCAUUGUGUGAGUAAACGUUUAAACGUAUUUUUCAGUUCUAUGUCAAGGUUUAUUGAAAGGCAGAUUCUUGACAGACUACACAGUAACUAUAUUAGAUGUUCAGAACAGUGAUGCCCCUUUUAACCAACACACUGAAGGCAUCACUGGAUUACAGCAACGCUUUAACAUUUUUUUUAAGAGAACUUCGUCAACAGACUGUAAAGUAACUCUUAAUAUAGAGGUUCGGAUCAGGGGUGUCCCCUGUUGCAACUCAUUUUGACCAUGUGUCAUGGGAGUAAUGGAUACCAAAGCCUUGAUGCCAUCAUACCUAAAGACAAGUUCCUAGUCAAGAUUUGUUGAAAGGCCUCACCACUUAUAAUUCUCUCUUUGUGGAACAUUCCUGACCCCUGAAAGCUGUUGGUGAAAACCGCACUAGUAGACCUGACCGACCUAUUCACCAACCUACCUGAGGCAGGAAGCCCCAUGCGCCCUAACUGGCAGAAGAGAGGAUGGCGUGUUGUGCCCGUGUGGUUAUGUGUGUGUGCGUGUUUCAUGUCCUUUGGGUAAAUGAGAGGGUGCGUUAGCUGCCCCAGUCCACAAUAGAGCCUCUUCUCUGCAGUUGGGUUACAUUGGCGAUGAGUAGUUCUGCAGAAGUCAGUGGACAGUAAAGCCCGGACUUGUUUGCACUGCAGCCAGAGAGGUAUGCUUACACAGACGAGCAAGGUAAGUGUCCCAUCCAUGUUUUAUUAUACAAGAUGCACAGUUCUUCUCCCAUGACUUAACUCUUCUCUCUGUCCUCUCUUUCACCGCGUCACUGCUCUACAGUGAUGCUCUACAGGGCUUCUGGCAUCACACUGGCAAAGAAUGGCAUCACAGUGCAGGUUCCCUUUCUUCAAACCUGUGUGGAAUGUGACUAAGCGUUAUAGCCUGUGCAGUGUGUGUGUGUGUGGUUGUAGUACUUUGGCUUCUCUGUAUGCAUGCACGAAAGGUACCUGUGUAUGGACGGCCGAGUCACUGGUUCAACACUGAGUGUUGUGGGAUGCAGUGCUGCUGUCAUUUUAUGAACACGAGGCAUUCAUGCAAGAUGGAAAACUGAAUUUAGGCAUUUUUAAAGGGUUAGAAAGCUCAAAUCUUGUAAAGCUAUGCAAAAUACUUUGUCUCUUCCCUCAGUUUGUGUUGAUGUCUUUGGGGAUUUUUCCUGAAAUCUUUUUUUAGACAUUAUAUAUAAUUAAUAUAAUGGUUAUUAGCUUUGGUAUUAGGCAAGCUGUGUGCAACGAGGAACAGAAAAGUGUUUCAAACUCAAAAAGAUGGCAUUCUCCACUGUAAUGCUGUAAGAAAGCUUUUUCCCGUAGUUUUGUCUUUGUGCUGCACCUCUUUUAAUAUCUUUAACAAUCAUGUAGUGCCGUGUCUGAUUUUUAAAAAAAACAUGCAAAAAUCAAUUAUUUCUGGUUUGAUACCUUUUUAUUAGAUUUGUCAUAAUUCUGUUUGUGAAACUAUAAACAUGAAUAUGUUGUGGGACUGGGUUGGGACGUUUUUGCAGCUUUCACGUGAAACGGGUCACAUACUGCUCGGGUUGCUCUGGGUGGGAUUGUAGAAAACGUAAAUCCCUGUGUCAGACAUCCUGUUGUAAUCCACUGCUCAAAGCAGUCUGCAGUGUGAUCCUUACACCACAGCCUUUGUGACUUACUGACUUGGUGAAGAUGGAGUUUAGUUAAAUUUUUUUUUCUUUCUCUCGAAAAAUGCAAAUAUUCCCACACAUUACGAGGAACACUUUCCGAACAAUUUCUAACCAUAAACUCUGAAUUCCUACAUCACCUGAAGUGGCUUCACCAGCACAUUAUUUACAAGUCUGAAAAUGUAAAGUUGAUCAUUUUAGUAAGAAUCGCACUUUCUUGGAGUCUAAACUUAGUCACGGUCUCAACACACAGACAUGAUAUAUUUUUUUAGAUUUAGUGCGUCUUACACUUCCAAAGGACAUCUCCUUUGAUGUUCAUCGCAAUUUAACGUCCAUAAAUGUGUUUAGAAGUCACAGUCAAAGGUGUUCCUUAAAACUCAACAACUUGCCUGAGAAUGAUCACAUUUUAAAGUUUUCUUCAGUAUCACUGAAGCUGCUAAUGGCUUAAUCAGUGUACUCCUAAUGGUGCCAAUCAUCCAAAAUGUAAGCAAGGGCUCAAGUUGCCGCCUGCAUCCUAACUUACCGAAUCUAAACAUUAUACGUCCGGUUAACAGCCACCAAAGCCUCAUGGGAACUGUGGUUCCUUUGCUUUGCUUAAUGAUGAUCUGACCCCAUAGAAGCAGUGAAAAUCAAUCUCUCUUUUUGGUGCACUAUCAAUAUAUUUAUUGACACUGUAAAGGCCUUUACACACCGGGGUUGUUUUUUUCUCCUGAAUACAUUUUAUUACGUGGUGAAAAAGCCCCUAAGCUCCGUGAUCCAAACCAAGACGGCAAACUUUCUAACUCUUUUUAAACCUUGCCAAAGACAGCCCGGUGUGUGAAGCCUUAACAGGGCAGCAACCUCCUAGAAUACUGCGACGUUUCCCUUUGGGUAGAGCGCCACAGUGAAAAUAUAAAAACUACAAACUUUGAAAACUCUUGAUCUAAAUGCUGGUUGUUGAUUUUUGGCUGAAGUGGUUAGCAGGAAACGGCAGAAAUACAUCGACCUUUUUAGGCGCUGGUUGUUUCACAUCCUCUAGAAAGGAAGGAGGAAAAGGGAGAGACGUGUAGUUCUUCUGUGAGAAAAACAUUUUGCAGCAGUGCCGGACUCGUAACUGCUUUCCUCUCUCCUCUCAGUACCUCUCGCUGCUCCAUAUUUACUCUUUCUUCCUGUUUGAACCUAAACGGUCUGUCCUACCAGUGACCAGCCAGUCAUUGUGAAAACACAGCACAUCACCACUGUGGCAUUGUCCUCUAUUCCACCUCGUACGUAGCUGUAAGGGACCGUGGUGGUUCUCCUCCAUCAAGAGGGAACCAUGCCAUGCCAUGAGUCCAGCCCUGGAGGCAUAUCGAGAUGUAUCCGUCUGCACUGUGAUCCAUUUUCUAACCAAGUCCUCAGUCCUGAUUGGCCACAGUGACAUUCUCUUAUGUCCCGCCUCUAAGUGUGAUGCCAGAACAACCCUUUUGGCCUCUCGAUGGCCUCAUCUAAAAAGGGCACUGCCCCAAGUCUGCACGACUGACACAGAAAAUGACCAGGUCUACUUCUCUACGAGCUUCAUGCUGCAGCUCCCAGCUCUGUUUGGGCUGUUUUUUUUUGCAGCAACACCCCUGAUGUGUCAGUACGAAGUCCAGCUUCACAUGGCUCUGUAACAGAAUUACCUUCCCUGAGGUUUGCAAAUGAUCCGAACGUUGUCAUGAGUUUGUCCCGUCUCACUCUACUUCAGGGUGCCGAGACGCCUCUCUAAAAACCUGCAUUUUCAACACGAUCACAUAACACAUUUGUACUUCUCACAUCUACAUUGUAAUGCAUGUUGGCAUUAUAACAUCAUGACCUGUAUUUCCAGUGAAAACACACGUUUGGUUUUCUUUUUGAAUAAUCAGUCACUGCCCUCGCACACACACAAAACACACGCAUAGUCAUUGUUUAUUUGUUAGAGGUGGCAACCUCAAAAUAGUAAUGGUAAAUAUAACUAACCAAAAAAAGUGACGGUAGAAACCUGCUGACCAGUUCACUGCUAGACUCUCAUUGUUUGUCUCUCGCCACAGGAUCCUCGACUCGUCGGAGGAGGCUGAGCAGCCUCGACGCUAAACCGGGUAAAAUGAAGACGUCUGAUAAAAAUGCCAGAGCUGCAGGAGACCCAUCGACUGCACUGCGGCGAUGCCAGGGACGACCUCCAUCUGCAUGUUGUGGAGAAGACGCAGUACCAGGAGGCGUCCAGCAGGAGGACAAGCAGCUCGCAGUCCAGAGGAGGGACGCACUGUUUUGUUUCGAUUAAUAAAUGAUAUAUAAAACUGA